UGAAAACUUUUUUCGAUAUAGAUUUUGCUUACAAUAAUAAUAUAUGACUUCUGGCACUUCUGGUGGACGCAUAUCAGCAAGGACAUGUAGUCACACUACAGUAUAAAGACGAUAUAUGUGAAUAUCCCGAUGUAGAUGAAAAAAACAUCGAUAAUAGUUCAUAUAAACAAAAAAAUUGGUAAUAAAAUAAAAAUAUUUAACAAGAGGACACACAUUUCUACAGUAGACAAAAAACCAAUAUGAAGUCAAUCGAAAAACAAAAAUUUUCCAAACUCUUUCCCAACCACGACUGAAUCAUCUACACAUGUCUUAACUACGAAACAAAGCUCAUUCCUGUUUGGACGAUUUUUAUGCGUUUGAUGUUUGAACUGAAUUAAAAAUAAAUAUAUUAAGAGAAAAAAAUUACAGUCGAAUCCAAUGCAUCUUAAUAGAAAAUCU